CCUAAAACUGGACUGAGAUACUCAACUUUGGUCACCAGCACUACCUAGAUUGUGUGGGAGUUCUCAGCCUUGGUGGCUCUUCCUGGAUUUAUACACACAUUCAGCCCUGGACCAGAGGAUGUGGCUGCAUUCUACCUAGUGAUUUUACUGACGGAUAACUUACAAGAAAAUGGUGGAAGAUGCUGUUUCAAAUCUGCCCAUGGCCCCUCAGAGCCCCUUACCAGUUUUGUGCCCUGCAGGCUGACCACCAAUGGCCAGCAUCUACAUCUUUAUAGGAGCGGUGGCUUCAGGCUCCUGGAAUCUACUCUGCCAGUAUGGGACAGUCCAGAUAAAACAGAACCAGAGCUUGAACUCAAGACCACUGACCUCUGACCUGAAUGAAGUUACACAUCUCUUUCUACAUUUACAAAAUUAAGUCAUUCACCAAAGAAAAAAAAAUUCUAUAACAGUAUUACUAUUAUCUCCUGUUCCUAUUCCGUGUCUUACUGCUUCCUUUUAUAGAAACUCCUCUUCUUGAUCUGUCUUCCCCUGCUAUAUUCCCCUCUAAUAGAGCACAUUUCCAUCACUUCUUGGAUCUCCUAUUCUCCAGGAUCUUAAGUGACCAACUUCUUUGAAUUUUUAGAGAUCAUUCCUUUUAUUAAACUAUAGCAUCUUCUGCAUAAAAUGUAUUUUACCAAAACACGAUCUGUAAAACCUAAAAAAUGAAGACAGAAAGUGCUUGAGGCCCUGAGGGUGGCUCAGAAUCCUUGGUCAAUGCAAGGACAGGAGGCAGCAGCCACUGGGUAAGGUGCCUUUCUUUUAUAAAAUGCAAUAGGGCCUCAGUGCCCACAGCCCUGUUCUCAGCAUGGCCAGGAGGAAGCUAGCAUUUACAUAGCUGCUCAAUACUGAAAGGCUACUGUCAGUUGCAUCUCUUGCAACUAAAAUAUAAAUGUAAGGAUUCUCAAAAUGGGGAGAGAUGGAGGUGAGGAAGAAGAGAAACAUCACAAGGGGAAUGUAUGUUGACUGGAUGUCUUAGCCUGCUGCGCUACAUUUGAGUUACAUGAGCACAGGCAUAGGGAGGACACAUCUCUGUAGUGUCUGCAUGUGCUAGGCUUAGAAAAUGAAUUUUACUGUGCUUUUAAGGUAGAUUAUGCCAACAGUGUAGCUUAGGUGGUGAUUUCAGCCAAUGUCAGGGUCCUGGCUAGAGACAGGAGGAACAGGCUAUUAACAUCUGCAAUGCCAAUGCUUUUUGUUUCUGGUAAGAGAGAAGCUCCUGUACCAGGAAACACACCAAAGCAAUGCCAAGCACUGGGGAGAAGUGUGUGGUUUCCC